UACAGAGGGUGCAAACGUUGUUCGGAAUUACUGGGCGUAAAGCGCGUGUAGGCUGCUUCGCAAGUCGGAUGUGAAAGCCCUGGGCUCAACCCAGGAAGUGCAUUCGAAACUGCAGAGCUGGAGUCCUGGAGAGGAAGGCGGAAUUCUCGGUGUAGAGGUGAAAUUCGUAGAUAUCGAGAGGAACACCGGUGGCGAAGGCGGCUCACUGGCCCGUAACUGACGCUCAUGCACGACAGCGUGGGGAUCAAACAGG
rnacentral:rRNA from 1 species